AUAUAAACAAAAAUUUGCGGCAGGAAUCAGGAUGCACAUGAAAAUCAUAAAUCCAUGAGAAGUGAAUCGACUUGAUCUUCCUGGCAAAUUCUGUAGUUUGACUGGAGCCCAGAAAUGCAGGGUGGAUCAACCGGCAUCGGUUAUGGUUUAAAAUACCAGGCAAGGUGCAUUGCGGAUGUUAAGGCGGACACAGAUCACACCAGUUUUAUUGCUGGUACUCUUUGUCUCAAAGAAGAAAAUGAGGUGCAUUUGAUUCGUCUUUCUAGUGAUGGAACUGACCUUGUAUGUGAAGGGUUGUUCUCUCACCCUAAUGAGAUCUGGGACCUUGCUUCUUGCCCUUUUGAUCAGCGCAUCUUUUCGACGGUUUUUUUCAAUGGUGAAUCAUAUGGAGCAGCCAUAUGGCAGAUACCUGAAUUAUAUGGCCAGUUAAAUUCACCUCAGCUGGAAAAGAUUGCUGCCCUAGAUGCUCAUAGUGGUAAAAUUAAAAGUGUUCUGUGGUGGCCUUCUGGAAGGAAUGACAAAUUAAUUAGCAUUGAUGAACAGAAUCUGUUUUUGUGGAGUUUGGAUUCUUCAAAGAAAACUGCACAGGUACAAUCACAGGAAUCAGCUGGCAUGCUUCAUUCCCUAUCUGGUGGAGCAUGGGACCCUCAUGAUGUGAAUGCUGUUGCAUUGACUAGUGAAUCAGCAAUCCAGCUCUGGGACCUACGAACAAUGAAAAUGACCAACUCAAUUGAACAAGUGCACACCCGCAAUGUAGAUUUUGAUGCCAAAAAAAGCAAUAUUCUGGUCACUGCGGAGGAUGAGUCUGGAAUACGUAUUUGGGAUCUUAGGAUGUUAAAGGCUCCCAUUACUGAGCUUCCUGGCCAUGCACACUGGACAUGGACAGUCAGGUCUAAUCCAGAGUACGACGAUCUAAUCUUGAGUGCCGGAACGGACUCAUCUGUGAACCUGUGGCUAGCUCCUUCUCAAAGCAGCGAGGAAGUCACACCUGAAAGUUUGUUGGAGUCCCCAACCAAGCGUGUAGACCCUUUACUGUACUCUUACAGUGAUUAUGAAGACAGUGUUUAUGGCCUUGCUUGGAGUUCUAGGGAGCCUUGGGUUUUUGCGUCGUUGUCCUAUGAUGGGAGGGUAAGUGCGCUUGCUCUCAAGUAACCAGGGAAGAGGCCUUAGAAUAGAGUUCCCCUUUGGGAGAGCUGAAUGUAGUCUACUUUUCGCUCGCUCUGUCUCUUCCGGAUGGGAGCAAGUGGUAGUAGAAUCAGUAAAACCUCAUCUUCCCAGAAAGUGAAGAUUUAUUGUAUUAUUCAAACUUGAAAUUCCUCCAUGUGCAUCAGAACCUAUUGAGGCAAUUCAGUAGGAGAUGCAUUGAAUGUGUUGAGGAAUUGGAAUGAGGAUGAAGCAUUGUACUCUGUGAAUUUGGAAUGUGAAGCUUCUUGUAUACAACCAAAGACUGUAAAUUGACAUUCUUUCACCAGUCCAUUCCGUUGCUCCCACCCAAGAUGUGAGUUAAUAACUGUAUCUUGAGGCUUCUUUGGAUAUUUCAAUCUCAAGAUUUCCUGGAUUUUUGCACAUUUUUUUUUAUCUUGCUGGAAGGGGGAGGGGGUGUUUACCGGUAGAUUUACAAUCCUAACAUCAAAUGUGCGGCUGCUUUGCGUUGUGGCCAAAGAUACAUUAUCAUAUAUGCCUUCUCUGGAGAAAGAAGAUAAUGUAAUUGUACUUUGAGUUAGUUUAUAGUUGGCUUUUUGUUGCUUUUAGAAGACUUUGUAGUUGGCUUAAUUGAUCAGGUGAUCUGAGUGCUGUUUCUUAUUCUUUUCUGCAUAAUGAUAUUUUAUGGGCCACUGAAGUGGUUUCUUUUC